CUUUGACGAGGGAUCACUCGGCUCGUACGUCGAUGAAGAGCGCGGCCAGCCGCGAUAACUGAUGCGAAUGGCAGGACACGGUGAACAUAAACACCUCGAACGCG